rnacentral:tRNA from 1 species
CCGGGCGUGGCGGAAUUGGCAGACGCGCUAGACUUAGGAUCUAGUGGGCAACCGUGGGAGUUCGAGUCUCUUCGCCCGGACCA